rnacentral:rRNA from 1 species
UUGUUUGGAGAGUUUGAUCCUGGCUCAGGACGAACGCUGGCGGCGUGCUUAACACAUGCAAGUCGAACGGUAAGGCCCCUUCGGGGGUACACGAGUGGCGAACGGGUGAGUAACACGUGGGUGAUCUGCCCUGCACUUCGGGAUAAGCCUGGGAAACUGGGUCUAAUACCGGAUAGGACCACGCUCUGCAUGGAGUGUGGUGGAAAGCUUUUGCGGUGUGGGAUGGGCCCGCGGCCUAUCAGCUUGUUGGUGGGGUGAUGGCCUACCAAGGCGACGACGGGUAGCCGGCCUGAGAGGGUGUCCGGCCACACUGGGACUGAGAUACGGCCCAGACUCCUACGGGAGGCAGCAGUGGGGAAUAUUGCACAAUGGGCGCAAGCCUGAUGCAGCGACGCCGCGUGGGGGAUGACGGCCUUCGGGUUGUAAACCUCUUUCAGUAGGGACGAAGCGCAAGUGACGGUACCUACAGAAGAAGGACCGGCCAACUACGUGCCAGCAGCCGCGGUAAUACGUAGGGUCCGAGCGUUGUCCGGAAUUACUGGGCGUAAAGAGCUCGUAGGUGGUUUGUCGCGUUGUCCGUGAAAACUCACAGCU